ACGCUCGACACCUACGGGAGGCAGCAGUGGGGAAUAUUGCACAAUGGAGGAAACUCUGAUGCAGCGAUGCCGCGUGAGGGAAGAAGGUUUUCGGAUUGUAAACCUCUGUCUUUGGGGACGAUAAUGACGGUACCCAAGGAGGAAGCUCCGGCUAACUACGUGCCCGCAGCCGCGGUAAUCUGAGCGGGCUGGCAAGGC
rnacentral:rRNA from 1 species